CCCUUCUAGAUUGACACUAUCCUCUAACACACUUGUUUAUACACUUCAUGAACCGAUGAUAGUAGCUCGAUCUUUCUAAAACAUGUAUCCCCAUUAUUUCCAUAAAUAAUGGGAAGGUUAGCCUAAAAUGUCUUCUUCCAUGGACCAUUGUUUUUCACGAGAACAUUCUCAAAUUAAAAUAUUAAGACUUUUCAUAAAUAGUCCGAAGAUCUCAAAUACUAAUAUGUUGGAUUAAAUUGUCUUGCACCUCGAGCAUCCUGUAAAAGAAAUAGCAUAAUUUGGCUAUUUACAAGAACCAUUUUAAAGAAGGCCGUGAACCAAUUUUUAAAAUCAAAUUUAAUUCCUAUG
rnacentral:lncRNA from 1 species